rnacentral:rRNA from 1 species
UACGGGGGGGGCAAGCGUUGUUCGGAAUUACUGGGCGUAAAGGGCGCGUAGGCGGUUCGAUAAGUCAGCUGUGAAAACCAUGGGCUUAACUCAUGGCCUGCAGUUGAGACUGUCGGGCUGGAGUGUGGGAGAGGAGACUGGAAUUCCUGGUGUAGCAGUGAAAUGCGUAGAUAUCAGGAGGAAUACCGAUGGCGAAGGCAGGUCUCUGGGCUGACACUGACGCUCAUGCACGAAAGCGUGGGGAGCAAACAGG